rnacentral:rRNA from 1 species
AGAGUUUGAUCCUGGCUCAGAUUGAACGCUGGCGGCAGGCUUAACACAUGCAAGUCGAGCGGAGAUGAGGUGCUUGCACCUUAUCUUAGCGGCGGACGGGUGAGUAAUGCUUAGGAAUCUGCCAUUUAGUGGGGGACAACAUUCCGAAAGGAAUGCUAAUACCGCAUACGUCCUACGGGAGAAAGCAGGGGAUCUUCGGACCUUGCGCUAAAUGAUGAGCCUAAGUCGGAUUAGCUAGUUGGUGGGGUAAAGGCCUACCAAGGCGACGAUCUGUAGCGGGUCUGAGAGGAUGAUCCGCCACACUGGGACUGAGACACGGCCCAGACUCCUACGGGAGGCAGCAGUGGGGAAUAUUGGACAAUGGGCGGAAGCCUGAUCCAGCCAUGCCGCGUGUGUGAAGAAGGCCUUUUGGUUGUAAAGCACUUUAAGCGAGGAGGAGGCUACUAGUACUAAUACUACUGGAUAGUGGACGUACUCGCAGAAUAGA